rnacentral:lncRNA from 1 species
CAAACAAAAAGGAUUAUUUACCUCCUAACAUCCCUUGCCCACAUUUUAUGGUUUUGAUGACUCUUUUAUUUUUUUCUUUUUAAUUUUAUUUUGUUUGAAGCAUGUUCAUGAUUAAAUCUGUAUGCUGGCUUAUUUGAGUGACUGCUCUCUGAUUGUAUCUUCCUCAGUCCUAGUUCUUCCUCUUCUUCUUCUUCUUCUUUUUUUUUUUUUUCUUUUCUUUUUUCUUCCCUUUCCUUCCUUUCUUUUUGGUUUAGAGAAGCCCUUUCAAUAUUUCCUUUAACCUGGGUUUUGUGUUGCUGUAUUCUUUAAGUUUUUGUUUGUUGGGAAAAAUUUUUAUUUCCCCUUCUAUUUUAAAUGAUAUUCUUGCUGGAUAAAGUAUUCUAGGUUGCAUAUUUUUUCCUUUGAGCACUUUAAAUAUCUCUUGCCAUUCCCUCCUGGCCUGUAGUGUUUCUGUAGAGAAAUCAGCUGAUAUUCUUAUGGGGGUUCCCUUGUAGGUAACAUUCUGUUUUUCUCUUGCUGCCUUUAGGAUCCUCUCUUUAUCACUAACUUUUGCCAUUUUUAUUAUGAUGUGUCUUGGUGUGGGUCUGUUUGGGUUCAGUUUGUUUGGGGCCCUCUGUGCUUCUUGUAUCUUGAAUCCAGUAUCCUUUAGAUUUGGGAAGUUUCCAGCGAUAAUUUCUUCAAAUAUAUUUUCCAUUCCUUUAUCUUUUUCUACUCCUUCUGGAAUUCCUAUUAUGCGUAGAUUGGCCCGUUUUAUAUUAUCCCAUAGGUCUCUUAUAUUGCUUUCCAGUUUUUUGAUUCGGUUUUCUGUCUGUUGACCAGAUUGAGUGAUUUCCAUUAUUCUAUCUUCCAUAUCACUGAUUCGUUCUUCUGCAUUAUUCAUUCUGGUUUUUACUGCCCCUAGUUCAGUUUGCAUCUCUGCAAAUGAAUGUUCUAGUUUUUCUUGGCUCCUCCUUAUAUUUUCUAGCUCCUUUCUGAGGGUAUCUGCAUUGCUGUUCAUAUCUUCUCUUAAUUCCUUCAGUAUUUUCACUAUUUCUCUUUUGAACUCCAGGUCUGUCAGACUGCAGAGAUCAGUUUCAUUGUUGACUGUUUUAGGUGAGUUCUCCUGUUGGUUUGACUGGGGGUGGUUUCUCAGCUUCUUCAUCUUGCUUGUUGUCUUCUUUCUCCUGAGGGAGUUGUACUCUCCGUUAUCGGGUAGUGUUUGCCUUGUCACUGCCCUGGAAUAUUUCCUGAGGGCUGUCGUUGUUGGUCAAUCUUUUUUUGAGGCAGUGUGGCUUUUCUGGAGUGUUGAUGGGGCUAACAGUGUUUCUUUGAAGCAAAGGAGGACUUCCUGAGGGCAGACAGGACUGGGAGGUCCACCCCACGAUGGUAGCAGAUUUCACUUGGUUCUCAGCACCCCCUGGGAUCUUGGGCGGGUAGCAGGGCCCUUGGAGACUCAAGAGGCUCCUCCCCAGGGCAGCCCGACUCAGAAAGACCGUCUGAGAUCUUUUCCCGAUUCGGCCAGGCUUGUUGCAGCUUUUCUGGGCUGCAGGGGGUCCUGCCUGGAGCUGGCAGUCCUAUGCAGCUGGUCCACUAGGUCUCAGCACCCCUUGGGGUCUUGGGCGGGGGCAGGGCCUUUGGAGACUCAAGAGGCUCCUCCCCAGAACAGCCCGACUCAGAAAGACCGUCUGAGAUCUUUUCCCGAUUCGGCCAGGCUUGUUGCAGCUUUUCUGGGCUGCAGGGGGUCCUGCCUGGAGCUGGCAGUCCUAUGCAGCUGGUCCACUGGGUCUCAGCACCCCCUGGGGUCUUGGGCGGGUAGCAGGGCCCUUGGAGGCUCAAGAGGCUCCUCCCCAGGACAGCCCGACUCAGAAAGACCGUCUGAGAUCUUUUCCCAAGUCGGCCAGGCUUGUUGCAGCUUUUCUGGGCUGCAGGGGGUCCUGCCUGGAGCUGGCAGUCCUAUGCAGCUGGUCCACUAGGUCUCAGCACCCCUUGGGGUCUUGGGCGGGUAGCAGGGCCCUUGGAGACUCAAGAGGCUCCUCCCCAGGGCAGCCCGAUUCAGAAAGACCGUUUGAGAUCUUUUCCCGAUUCGGCCAGGCUUGUUGCAGCUUUUCUGGGCGCAGGGGGUCCUGCCUGGAGCUGGCAGUCCUAUGCAGCUGGUCCACUAGGUCUCAGCACCCCCUGGGGUCUUGGGCGGGUAGCAGGGCCCUUGGAGGCUCAAGAGGCUCCUCCCCAGGACAGCCCGACUCAGAAAGACCGUCUGAGAUCUUUUCCCGAUUCGGCCAGGCUUGUUGCAGCUUUUCUGGGCUGCAGGGGGUCCUGCCUGGAGCUGGCAGUCCUAUGCAGCUGGUCCACUAGGUCUCAGCACCCCCUGGGGUCUUGGGCGGGUAGCAGGGCCCUUGGAGACUCAAGAGGCUCCUCCCCAGGACAGCCCGACUCAGAAAGACCGUCUGAGAUCUUUUCCCGAUUCGGCCAGGCUUGUUGCAGCUUUUCUGGGCUGCAGGGGGUCCUGCCUGGAGCUGGCAGUCCUAUGCAGCUGGUCCACUAGGUCUCAGCACCCCUUGGGGUCUUGGGCGGGUAGCAGGGCCCUUGGAGACUCAAGAGGCUCCUCCCCAGGACAGCCCGACUCAGAAAGACCGUCUGAGAUCUUUUCCCACUUCGGCCAGGCUUGUUGCAGCUUUUCUGGGCUGCAGGGGGUCCUGCCUGGAGCUGGCAGUCCUAUGCAGCUGGUCCACUAGGUCUUAGCACCCCCUGGGGUCUUGGGCGUGUAGCAAGGCCCUUGGAGACUCAAGAGGCUCCUCCCCGGGGGAGCCCGUCUCAGAAAAACCGUUGGAGAAUUAGGUCGAUCUAUUCACGGCCUGGCUAGGCUUGUUCUAGCUUUUCUGGGCUGCAGGCCUUUUCUAGGGGGCUGGUGGUGUUUGGUGCUGCUCUGUGGAAGUGUAGCCCCUCCAAAGGGCAAGCAGGCCUGUGCAGGGAGAGCCCCUGCGGUGGUAGGCUUCAGGCAAUUGUUGAGGCCAGCCCUCCUGGAUGGCAGGCAGCCCCAGGUUCCGCGAGAGCGUAGGGGGUGGCGGGGGUGGGGGGAGGGAAUGCACUGGGAAGCACAGCUUUCUGCUAGCUAGCGGGCCUGUAAGCUUGCUGUGGCGUGGGGGGUAUUCUAUGGGGACCCACCCCUUCUUCUCUCCGCUCCCCAGCACGGGCGCAGACCAGGCUCUUCUCCCAGGUUCCCUCUGAGGCGGCUUUCCACUUCCCCGCCCCUAGAGUAUUGCUCCCUUCCUCUGCCGACAGCUUUGUUUUCUAGUCUCCCAGGCAGUCUCUGCCCCGUCAAAUGGUUUAGAGACCUCCCAAGCAGUUUCCGCUCUUCCCCGCCCCCUAGCCCGGGGACUAAUCUCUGGAGCCGAGGUCUCGGUACCCAGCCCCCCCCCCCCCAGGCGUCCCCCGGCCCUUUCUUGGGGACUAACCUUCGGAGGCGAGGUCUCGGUGCCCAGCCCCAACCCAGGCGUCCCCCGGCCCCCUCUCGGGGACCAACCUUCAGAGCUGAGGUCUCGGUGCCCAGCCCCCACCCAGGCGUCCCCCGGCCCUUUCCCGGGGACUAACCUCUGGAGCCGAGGAUUCGGUGCCCAGCCCCCACCCAGGCGUCUCAAUUUUUGGUGACUGUGCCCGUAGUUCAGAUGGUCCGUUGGGUUCUUGAUCGUUUUUCCGUACUCCGACUUACUGCUACACUCUUCUCUGCAUCUGGAGAUUCCUCCGGUUCGUUUGAUCUUUCCCCCGGUAGGAGACUUUCCAGGGUGCGGGAUCCCUUUCUCCUCCGCAGUUCCCUUUCGGGAGCGCCCGUCCCGCUCGGAUUCACCUUCUCUCACUCUCCUCUUUUCUCCCGUUCUGCCCAAUAAUGUCACGAACUUCUUGCCGUUAUUGGAGUUUAGGUUCCUCUGCCAGCAAUUGGUUGUUGUUCUGUGUGAGUCAUUUCUUCUGUAGAUGUGCUUUUUUUGUUGUGUUUGUGGGAGAGGGCGAGCGUGUCCCCCUACUCCUCCGCCAUCUUGUCCUCUCCUCCAAAGCAGAUUUAAAGUGGUACUUGUUUGGGGGGAAUUUGGCAGUACUUCUUGUGCUGUGAUAUUAUAUUUUAUAAAAUUCAGAUACCUAUUGAAAAUAAAAUAUUUAAAAAAGCCUGAGGUAAAUUCAAAGUACUACUUUAAAUUUAUAAUUCUUAGCAUCUCAGUCAGUGUUAACUAUUUUAAAUGAUCUUAUUCUAGUGAGUGGAUAAAAUACAGAAGAACUAACUGCAUACUAUUUUAACCAGCUCAAAAUUUCUGGAGCAAAGUCAUUAAAAGUUGCAACCUGGAUUUAAAAUAAAAUUGCCCAGAAAAUUUCACCAUUUCAAUUGUGAUGACAUUUCAAGGCUGAGUUAAAAAUGCAUGGCAUUUUUUUAACUGCCCUAUAAACAACAUGUAAAUACAUUUUAUACAUUUAUAACUAUUAAAAGCUAAAUUCCUAAAGUUAAAAUGCUGCCUCCAAGUUUCCUGAUUUCUCUGCCCAACAAAAUAAUUGUUGACUGUUUUGAAAAAAAUUAUCAGAACAAUGUUGAUGAUUUAAUGAUUUUUUUUCUUCCAUCAGAGCUGCAUGGUUUCUUUGAGUGUGCUUAAAGGGAGAGGGGGAAGGGAAGGGGAGGGUAUGAGAAGUCAGUAUGUAAGCCAUACUCAUGGUAGUCUCUGUCUUUGUAGAACUAAGAUAAACUAUCUUUUGCCUUGCUUUGUGCAUCCGUUUAGGAGAAAGCUUGUGCAAUUUGCAUUUUAGAAUGUUCAGUCCUUUUAAUUUACUUCUAAAUAAUUUGUUUCUGCAUUAUGCUGCUUUGUUUGUAGAGAACAAUACUUACACAAGUGUUUUGUGAAGUAAAAUGAACUAACACAGCACUCUCCAAAGAGAAUUUCAAAAUAAAAACCAUUAAGGAUGAAUGGCAUGCAUUACAGAAAUCUCUACCAUAUGUCUGAAUGGGUCUUUGUAUCAAGCUUAUUUAUGAAAUUCAUAGGCACUAAUUUAUCUAAGAAAUAGAAUGAUAAUGCUUUCAAGCCAU